rnacentral:rRNA from 1 species
UACGUAGGGUGCAAGCGUUGUCCGGAAUUAUUGGGCGUAAAGAGCUUGUAGGCGGUUUGUCGCGUCUGCUGUGAAAUUUCGGGGCUCAACCCCGGACUUGCAGUGGGUACGGGCAGACUAGAGUGUGGUAGGGGAGACUGGAAUUCCUGGUGUAGCGGUGAAAUGCGCAGAUAUCAGGAGGAACACCGAUGGCGAAGGCAGGUCUCUGGGCCACUACUGACGUGAGAAGCGAAAGCGUGGGGAGCGAACAGG